GCUCUUCCAAUCUGUCCCGAGAGCAGCGCAGCAUUCGACGCCUCCUGCAGGACUGGUCGCUCGGCUCGCUUCGCUCUUCUCAUAGCAUCAAGUCCUGAGCCACUGCAGGGCGAGG